CAGGUUCCUGCCAGAGAGAAGAGUGUCUGCAAACCCCUGAGGCAAGAGGAGCCUGUGUCUUUGAAGGUCUGAACAAAGGCUCAUUCCACAGAGUCAGGAAAGCAGAGGGGGCAGUAUUUGGGGAAGAGGCCCAGGAGGAAGGGUAGGGGGGGCCAAGUUGGCCAGGCCCUUCUUGAUGCUGAAUGGCAGGAGGACUUUGAAGAAGUGACAGGGUCAGAGGUGCCAUCCAGAAAGAUCACCCUGAUCAGAGCUGGGAGAAUGGAGGUGCCGGGCAGGAGCAGAUGCCAGGGCCUGCUUGGAGGCAACUGGAAUACUCCAGAAACCUCCAUACCUUUGUCCUAGCUGGAUUUGAGCUCAGUUAUAUUGGAGUCUCUUUCCUCUAAGGCAGUAGACUGAACAAAAUGUUUUGCCGCCUUUAAUGUGUGUCUGGCACUGGCAUUGAUGAAGGCUUAGCUUCUGCACCUGUAACAUGAACAGAGAUAACCGCUGGUAAGAGUUUGGCUUAUAUUCUUCUACAUUUUUUUCCCCACAAGAAACUGAAAUUUGAAUUUUCUUCUACAAGUGAGAAAAAAAAAAAGUAAAAUCUCUAACUGUCUUAGUGAUGAUAAUUCUGAGAAGACAGGCCCAUUGAGCCAAGUAGGAGGAUAGGUUUCCUGAGGAUGGAGAUGCAGAAAUAGUUGACUUUGCCUUCACGAAGCAUCCUGACAUUUUUAGAUGUGGCUACACUCUGUGGGCCGGAAGUCGAAUUCCCUGGAGGGCUAGAGCUCUCAGUAUUUUGGACAUAUGUGAAGUCAGCACAGGGGGCAGGCGGUAAGUUAACUUGAAGAGAAUUCCAGUUACAAAUUUAGCUCAGCUUCUAAAAAACACUCCCAUCGAAGAGAGAUUCCUGGUUGCUGUGGAACUGCGUCCCCUGUGGGAUUUUCCUUGUGGAGUUAACUAGACACAGUUGUUACUAGGUAGCGGGACAACAGAUUUGCUUAAGAUCUCUUCGAUUUUGACAGUUUGAUGAUGGGUGACUUAUGUGGUAUUGUGGACAUCUGUUGGCUUUAUAUUUUGCCUGCCAAGCAUCCAUACUUUCUUUUUUCUGGUAUCCAUACUCAAUUUUUCUUCUGGUUCACCACCUAUACCGGGUUGAAUAAUGCCUCCCUCCCCACCCCAAUUCAUGUCUACUCGGAAGCUCAGCAUGUGACUUUAUUUGGAAAUAAGAGUCUUUGUGGAUAUAGCUAGGAUGAGGUCAUCCUGGAUUAGGGGGGGUCCUAAGUUCAAGGACUGGUGUUACCAUGAGAAGACACAGAGAAGGAAGGAGAGGCAGAGACUGGAAUGAAAUAACUGGAAGGGAAAGAACACGGAGGAUCGGGAUUGUCAGCGCCUCCAGGAGCUAGGAGAGAGGCCUGGAACGGGCUCUGCCUCAGAACCUCCAGCAGGAACCAACUCUUUGGACACCUUGAUGUUGGGCUUCUGGCCUCCAGGACUGGGAGAAGAUGCAUUUCUGUUGUUUAAGUCCUCCAGUUUGUGGUAUUUGUUAUGGCAGCCCUAGCAAAUUAAUAUACCUCCCAUUUACCCUGUCAAAAUGAUCCGGGGGCUAGUCUCUGUUGUGCUGGGCUCCUAUUAACUUCGGUAGGGAAGGCAUUAGGUUCAGGAGGAUGAGGAAGAGACCCAGAGUCCUCAAAUGAGACAUGGGGUUUUAUUAGCAGGAAGCUUACAUACACAGUGGUCCAGUGGUGGUGGGCUGGGCAGGAGAACCACAACUGCUUCCAAAAGCAUGUGGUUUGUACAGCAUUUUCACCUAGCACCCUCCCUGUAACAAUCUCCACCUGGCAACCCUCGUUUAACUCAAAACAAAGGGCCUCAAUGUCCUGCACGGGCCCUUUACGUUCCAUGCGUCAGGCUGGGG
rnacentral:lncRNA from 10 species